rnacentral:rRNA from 1 species
CCUACGGGUGGCAACAGUGAGGAAUAUUGGUCAAUGGACGCAAGUCUGAACCAGCCAUGCCGCGUGCAGGAAGACGGUUCCAUGCAUUGUAAACUUCUUUUGUACGAGGGCAAACUCAGAUUCGAGUACCUGACUGAGAGUAUCUUAAGAAAAAGCAUCGGCUAACUCCGUGCCAGCAGCCGCGGUAAUACGGAGGAUGCAAGCGUUAUCCGGAUUUAUUGGGUUUAAAGGGUGCGUAGGCGGUCGGAUAAGUUAGGGGGGAAAUCCCGAGGCUCAACUUCGGGAUUGCCGUUGAUACUGUUCGUCUAGAGAGGUGUAGCGGUAUGCGGAAUG